AGUGAACGCUGGCGGUAGGCCUAACACAUGCAAGUCGAACGGCAGCACAGUAAGAGCUUGCUCUUACGGGUGGCGAGUGGCGGACGGGUGAGGAAUACAUCGGAAUCUACUUUUUCGUGGGGGAUAACGUAGGGAAACUUACGCUAAUACCGCAUACGACCUACGGGUGAAAGCAGGGGAUCUUCGGACCUUGCGCGAUUGAAUGAGCCGAUGUCGGAUUAGCUAGUUGGCGGGGUAAAGGCCCACCAAGGCGACGAUCCGUAGCUGGUCUGAGAGGAUGAUCAGCCACACUGGAACUGAGACACGGUCCAGACUCCUACGGGAGGCAGCAGUGGGGAAUAUUGGACAAUGGGCGCAAGCCUGAUCCAGCCAUACCGCGUGGGGUGAAGAAGGCCUUCGGGUUGUAAAGCCCUUUUGUUGGGAAAGAAAAGCAGCAGGUUAAUACCCCGCUGUUCUGACGGUACCCAAAGAAUAAGCACCGGCUAACUUCGUG
rnacentral:rRNA from 1 species